rnacentral:rRNA from 1 species
AGUAACGCGUGGGUAACCUGCCUUAUACAGGGGGAUAACAGUCAGAAAUGGCUGCUAAUACCGCAUAAGCGCACAGAGCUGCAUGGCUCAGUGUGAAAACUCCGGUGGUAUAAGAUGGACCCGCGUUGGAUUAGCUAGUUGGUGGGGUAACGGCCUACCAAGGCGACGAUCCAUAGCCGGUCUGAGAGGGUGAACGGCCACAUUGGGACUGAGACACGGCCCAG